CUCCCACCCUUGUCUGUUGAAUACCCUGUUGCUUUGGCGGGCCCACCGGGGCAACCCGGUCGCCGGGGGGUGAUCUGCCCCCGGGCCCGUGUCCGCCGAAGCGCCUGUGAACUCUGAUGAAGAUAGGCGGUCUGAGUCAAUGGAAAAUGAAUCAAAACUUUCAACAAUGGAUCUCUUGGUUCCGGCAUCGAUGAAGAACGCAGCGAAAUGCGAUAAGUAAUGUGAAUUGCAGAAUUCCGUGAAUCAUCGAAUCUUUGAACGCACAUUGCGCCCCCUGGCAUUCCGGGGGGCAUGCCUGUCCGAGCGUCAUUUCUGCCCUCAAGCGCGGCUUGUGUGUUGGGCCUGGUCCCUCCGGGGACCUGCCCGAAAGGCAGCGGAGACGUCGCGUCCGGUCCUCGAGCGUAUGGGGCUCUGUCACUCGCUCGGGAGGGACCUGCGGACGUCGGUCAUCCACGAUUUUU
rnacentral:misc_RNA from 1 species